UCCGCUAAGGAGUGUGUAACAACUCACCUGCCGAAUGAAGUAGCCCUGAAAAUGGAUGGCGCUAAAGCGAAUAGCCUAACCAUAGCCAUUCGACUUAGUAGUGAAGUCGAAUGAGUAGGAAGGCGUGAUGGAUGUAGCGAAGGUUAGCGUGUGAACGCGAUUGGAACAUCCAUUAGUGCAGAUCUUGGUGGAAGUAGCAAAUAUUCAAAUGAGAUCUUUGAAGACUGAAGUGGAGAAAGGUUCCAUAGGAAUCGUGAUGAUCUAUGGGUUAGUCGAUCCUAAGAGAUAGGUGAAAUCCGUUGAAAGGGUGUUCUUGUAACGCCAUCUAUCGAAAGGGAAUCAGGUUAAUAUUCCUGAACCGUGUUAUUCAAAGUCGGUAACGAGUGUCAGAUUGAAGACAUUGAUGGUACUCCUGGGAAGAGUUGUCUUUUCUUGUUAACAAGUGGUUGUGCUUGGAAUAAACUCAGUUUGCGAGAAGCAUGACUGUUUGGUAAAGGUUCGCUUGGAGCGAACUCCGGUGCAGUAUCAUGAGUCCUUGAAAAUUGAAUCUGGCUAUGGAGUGACACGUUCGUACUAAUAACCGCAUCAGGUCUCCAAGGUGAAUAGCCUCUAGUUAAUAGAAUAAUGUAGAUAAGGGAAGUCGGCAAAUUAGAUCCGUAACUUCGGGAAAAGGAUUGGCUCUGAGGGCUAAGUAGUAUGGCAGUGAUGAGUUAACGGCUUGUCGUGUGGUUGUUCGUUGUGGCUUCGGCUGUGAUGAAUGGCUAUGUGAUGAAAAGAGCGCUCGUCGUUGUUGGCUACAAUGAAUAGCUGACUCAGAACUGGUACGGACAAGGGGAAUCCGACUGUUUAAUUAAAACAAAGCAUUGUGAUGGACUGAAAGAGUUGUUGACACAAUGUGAAUUCUGCCCAGUGCUCUGAAUGUCAAAGUGAAGGAAUUCAACCAAGCGCGGGUAAACGGCGGGAGUAACUAUGACUCUCUUAAGGUAGCCAAAUGCCUCGUCAUCUAAUUAGUGACGCGCAUGAAUGGAUUAAUGAGAUUCCCACUGUCCCUAUCUACUAUCUAGCGAAACCACAGCCAAGGGAACGGGCUUGGAAGUAUCAGCGGGGAAAGAAGACCCUGUUGAGCUUGACUCUAGUCUGACAUUGUGAAAUGACUUGAGAGGUGUAGCAUAGGUGGGAGAAGCAAUUCGAUCUUGAAAUACCACUACUCUUAAUGUUGUUUUACUUAUUCCAUGAGAUGGUGAGAGUCUAUGACUCUGUGAAGUGCAAAGUUCGUAAGAGCGAACCAAGUGGGAGACAUUGUUAGGUUGGGAGUUCGGCUGGGGCGGCACAUCUGUUAAAGAAUAACACAGGUGUCCUAAGAUGAGCUCAAUAAGAACAGAAAUCUUAUGUAGAACAAAAGGGUAAAAGCUCAUUUGAUUUUGCUUUUCAGUAUGAAUACAAACUACGAAAAUAUGGCCUAUCGAUCCUUUAGAUAUUUGAUGUUUUAAGCUAGAGGUGUCAGAAAAGUUACCACAG
rnacentral:rRNA from 1 species